UUCAGCACAGGGAAGACCUGAACUCUGGCUGCCAGGCAGUCUGAACCAGUGGUUGCGCUUACCCGAAAAGUCCAACGCCAAGACAAACUCCCCAUUCACCCCAAAGGCAGCCAUCUCCCUGCCUGGAGUCUUUGGGGUUUUGUCUCUUUCCUGUAAUGAUACUGUUGGGUGUCUGGAGCCUCAAACAUGCCAAGACAAGCCGACCAUGGGUUCAGUUCGUGUGCAAUAUGUAUCAAGGGAAAGAGUAUGCACAGCACGGCCGAAAGAUAAACUGUAUAUAUUACUCCAAUUACACAACCCCCAAAUGUCCUACUUACCCAACUAGCACCACCAGGAAAUCCCUACCCAGCCCGUAACUGGAAUUAUCUGCCUACUCGCCUAUGUUCUUUUUGGUUUCAGAUAUACCUAAAGGACUGGGAUCAAUAGUUUCUCCCUUUUUAAAAGACAAUUUCAAUAAAAAGAUACAUGAAAAGACACAAGCGGCUACCCAAUAUUCACAUAUCUGAACAAAUCAAGAAAUAAACGUGACAGCAGGCAGACAGGACAUAGGAUUUUAAGAGACCAUCUCUGCAACUGAAGGAACAGGGAAUGUGCAAUUCUUUUCCCAAUAAAUCCCUCCAGUUCCUAGGACACGACUCAAACGCCCCGCUAGGAGCUGCAGCUGCGAGAUUGAGCCAAAGGCUCUGACAAGUGCCUUGUGUAUGACCCAAUAUUUAUCAAUAACAACAACAACAAAAUCAAGUGAAACCAAGGCUGGGGAUUUUGAACUGUUUCUAAAGCCCUGGCGUGGAUAUGCACGUGGGUGAAACACAUCGCUGGAGAUGAGUUGGCUCCAUUUGUCCGCCCUGGGGAGCAAUCUUGGGGCAAAAUCCACUGCUAAUUGAUCCCAACCAGCCACACUAUCAGCUGAAAAUGCUUGAGGAGACAAAGAAUGAGGAGUGUGUGGUAAAAAUACUCUAAGCAUUUUUCAAGUAAAUCGUGUGUGUAAUCAAUAGCGUGUACAUACAUAUAAAUAGGGAAAGGGAAUUACUUCCAAUUAAUGAGAAAAAUAAUGUUUCAUGUGUAACUCCAGACUUCUCUAAAAUCUAUUGUCUCCCAUCCUUUGAUUGUUUUGUGGUCGGACUUCCAGCUUCCUCCAGGAAAACCUGCGAGCCCAGUUUAGUGCUCCGAGCUGGAGAGCAGACACUCGGCCCAAUUGGGGGCCGUUGUCUCCUCUUCUGGGCUGUUUACUUCAAGGCCAAAGGGUAGGCUGCUUGGGCAGCGAUCCCAGGGCAGCGCUGGGUGUCGCCGGCGGCGGCCGAGGCAGGAGUUGGGACAGCUCCGGAGCGAGCCCCGCGCCGCUCAGCUCCUAGACAGCGCUCGGCCGCCGCCUGCCAGGCUGCUCUCCAAAGGAGCUGGGCUUUUUCAACGUUUCCACUUCCUCGUGGCCUCAUCUAUCUUAUCUCACAGGUUCACGCUCCAAAGAGAAAAGGAAAGAGUGAGAAAAAAAGAAAACCUCUCCACCGUGAUGAUUCAUAGCUCACACGCUCACGAGCCAAACUUUGCCGACCGUGCUUUUUUCGUGAACAUUACUUUCUCUCCUGCGUGCCUUAGGACAAACCCAGAAGGAAGAUACUAAAAUCGCACAUGACCUCUUAGCCCGAAAAUAUUGAUCUGUGUGCGUGCUUCCGGCGUGAUGUGCAAACACGAGACACCUCGUCUGGAAAGGGUGAUCGCUCGCGGCUACUCGCUUCCAAUUCGGAUUAGAAGCUGAGGAGACGCUCGAGCGGCGAGGAGAAAACGACACCGAGUCACCCAGCGUGUGAGCGACCGUCUGGAGCAGGAGAGAAGGGGAAGGAAGAGACACAUAUACAUAGCAUGUGUUACCUGGUUUAUUUCGAGAUUGUUUGGUAUUGUUUUCUCUCUGAGCACCCCUCAUUUCGGAAGGCUAUCAUAGGCGCCCACCACUGAGCCGCCCCCGCCCGCCGCCGCAGCGCCGGGAGCCCCAGGCCCGGCUUCCCCGCGGCGCCCGAGCUCCGAGCUCGCCGCCGCCCGGCCGCAGGAACUGAGUAAGUAACCCCUGUUUGGCCCCGCGCUCGCCAGCCCACUUCCUCCUCCUCAUCCCUCCGUUUCCAAACCCCAUCCAGACCCUCCUCCCCCA